UUUCACUUUAUGAGUUUUUUUAACAUUAAUAUGAGUUCCCCCAGCCUGCCUAAGGUCCCCAAUUGGCUUGAAAUGGUGAUAGGUGUAAACCGAGCCCUGGGUAUCCUGCUCUGCCUUUGAGAAAAUGAAAGCUCAGAUGAGCCGUUCUGGAAUCUUGCUUGUUAUGAGGUCAUAACAAGCAAGGAUACCG